GACAGAGGGUGCAAACGUUGUUCGGAAUUACUGGGCGUAAAGCGCGUGUAGGCGGCUCUGCAAGUCGGAUGUGAAAUCCCACGGCUCAACCAUGGAAGUGCAUUCGAAACUGCAGGGCUAGAGUCCUGGAGAGGAAGGUGGAAUGCUUGGUGUAGAGGUGAAAUUCGUAGAUAUCAAGCGGAAACACCGGUGGCGAAGGCGGCCUUCUGGACAGUGACUGACGCUGAGA
rnacentral:rRNA from 1 species